UACGGAGGGUGCGAGCGUUAAUCGGAAUUACUGGGCGUAGAGCGUGCGCAGGCGGUUUGUUAAGCGAGAUGUGAAAGCCCCGGGCUCAACCUGGGAACCGCAUUUUGAACUGGCAAACUAGAGUCUUGUAGAGGGGGGUAGAAUUCCAGGUGUAGCGGUGAAAUGCGUAGAGAUCUGGAGGAAUACCGGUGGCGAAGGCGGCCCCCUGGACAAAGACUGACGCUCAGGCACGAAAGCGUGGGGAGCAAACAGG
rnacentral:rRNA from 1 species